AGUAAUAGACGAUAAUUCGAAGUUGGUUUCGACCCAACCCUAGGUAUAACACCCUGUUACUA
rnacentral:tRNA from 1 species